CAUUCCAAAAUUGGAUUUGAAAAGUCAAAUCUUCAAAUUUCUGAUUAUUAGGGUUUGUUGGUUGGAGAGAGAUUAACUGAGGCCUAAGCUCAGCUCAAAGAGAGAGAAAGAGAGAGAAGCCUCCAACCUAACAAACCCUAAGAUUCGUACGAGAACAAAUCAAGAAAAUUCUUGGGGCAUUUAAAAACAUAUUAUUUGGAGCUCUUAGCUUUUGUGAUUGCAAUUAUCAUCCAUAAAGUAGGUUUUUGGGUUCUCAAAAGUUAUAUUGGAGAAAUGAGGCAGUGAAUGAAUUGAUGCUUGUUAAUAAAUGUACUGAGCGUGAUGAUAGUUCUUGUGUAUAGUGGUGGUGGUUGUGUUUUUUCCUAUAAAGAGGUGCAAGAAAAUCAGCUGUGGUUGAUAAGCCGACAUGCCGAGUAAUUAUCUUUUCAGAUUAAGCCACGCAGCUAGGCAGGGACUCCAGAAAUCUAUUUCUGGGCAAGAAAGUGGGCCCCAGGACUCAGUAGAGAUUUUGGUUGGCCAAGGGAGAUUGUUGUUGGGCAAUUCAAAGAGCUUCUAUUCCAUACCAUUUGCAAGAUCAGGUGACCUAAAUGUGUUUGUUCGGCCUGGAACUUUAGCUGCCACACAGGCGAAUUUGCAUAUAGUCAACCAGAAAAAGAAUCUUUCUGUAGUUGGAUCUAUUUCUCGUGCAAUUUCUAUUCCGUCUGUAUCAGGGCCUGCAUUUCAGGUCUGUGGCUAUCACAUUGAUCGCUUGAUAUCUGAGCCUACUCACGGUUUGUUGGACACUAACUAUCACAAAGCACCUAUGGAGAUCUGUGGUUCAAGAACUUCUCUGCCUGGCUGUUCCUCUAGUAAAAUGGCUUCAAGGCAUCUCAAUCCUGUUUUGGCUGUAAAUAGUCCUGUUACUUCUUAUAGCAGUAGAAGCUUUAAUUGUAGAAAAGCCAGCAUGAGUUUGAGAAAUAAAAAUCAGCCCAACAACUUCUUACUUUACGGAUACUUCGCAUACAAUGUGGCAAAGAGAAAGGGAAAUUCUAAUCUAUAUGAAGGUUUUGGAUUGACGGGGUUCCACACUUCAUCACCUGCUUGUUCACCUGCGGGCACUGCUCCUGAUGUGUCCUUUGGUAACUCUACAUGCGAGGUGCAGCUUUCAAGUUCAGCAGAUUCUUCCGAACAGAAUAUCCACAUUGAUAGAACCCUGAAGCUAAACUCAGGAUCAUGUUACCUGCCUCAUCCUGACAAAGAAGAAACGGGUGGAGAGGAUGCUCAUUUUAUUUGUGGUGAUGAACAAGCAAUUGGUGUAGCUGAUGGUGUUGGUGGUUGGGCGGAUCUUGGUGUUGAUGCUGGGCAGUAUGCACGAGAGCUCAUGUCUAACUCAGUAACUGCGAUUCAAGAUGAACCAAAACGUUCAGUGGACCCAGCCAGGGUCCUCGAUAAAGCUUAUACAUGCACAAAAGCCAAAGGUUCCUCAACUGCCUGUAUAAUCGCCCUUACCGAUCAGGGCCUGCAUGCCAUUAAUUUAGGAGACAGUGGAUUUAUGGUGGUUAGAGAUGGAUGUACUGUUUUCAGAUCCCCUGUGCAGCAGCAUGAUUUCAAUUUCACCUAUCAACUAGAGAGCGGUAACUCUGGCGACUUGCCAAGCUCUGGAGAGGUGUUCAAAAUACCGGUGGCACCAGGAGAUGUUAUAAUAGCUGGUACUGAUGGGCUGUUUGACAAUUUGUACAACAAUGAUAUUACUGCAAUUGUGGUUCAUGCAACAAGAGCUGGCUUAGGGCCACAGGUGACAGCUCAAAAGAUAGCUGCAUUGGCUCGGCAAAGAGCACAGGAUAAAAACAGGCAGACCCCUUUCUCUGCUGCAGCCCAAGAAGCUGGGUUCCGUUACUAUGGCGGGAAGCUGGACGAUAUAACUGUGGUUGUCUCCUACAUAAGCAGUGACAGAAAUGUAUGAGCACUUUGUAUAUCCGCCACCAGCCCUUCUUUUAUUCUCCAUAGCUUGCAGGAAAGAUCCAAUGGCUUAUAGAUGUAGUUGCGAGCUUUCCUACUUGCUUUGAAACGCUUGGCUUGGGGGCACUAAGUUCCAUUUAAAGGGGAUGUCAAACCUUGCAUAAUAUCGUGUGAAUGUGUCGAAUAUCACUUCUGAUUUACUUGUUUCUUGGCAAUUUACCCCCUCUUUCCAACUUCAUGGACCUCACCCAAAAAAAGGUAGAUCGCGAACCUCUCCCUCUCCCUCUCUCUCUCUCUCUCUCUCUCUCUCUCUCUCUCUCUCUCUCUCUCUCUCUCUCUCUUGCUUUCCGCUUAGGGGAAGAUCAUGAGUGCUGAUCAUGUAUAUGGAAUAGGUGUUAGACAGAAAGGUGCUCCUAUGGUGCUUGAUAUAGGAAUUGUCUUUCUGGAGAUAUGUUGGUUUCCAUAGAAUGCUAGCUAGGACACAUUAACUUGCAGAAUGAAGCUUUCUUGAAUUCUUUGGAACUUAAUUCUUGUCAUCUUUCCAUUGUAAUAAUUCUUGGACAUGAUUUUAGUGUAAAUAGAUGAGCACUUUCGUUGUUCCUCUGUAUCUUUUUUGUUUUAUUUGGUUGACUUGUUGAGGUUGAGCUAGUCGAAAUCUUAAUUUUAGGUUGGUUAAUGUCCCACUUGUGGGAUUAUACUGGGUUGUUGUUGUUGUUGUAUUUUAGGUCGGUUAAUGUAAUUCCCGUUUGCUGUGAA